UUUAUUUUGAGAUAAUGAAAUGGGAUUGAUUAAAACACGUUAUCAAUGAGGCCAAGGGUUAAGACCGAAUUUUGAAAGCUUAAUUCUAAUUGAAUUUACAAAAUUCUACAGCCUGUCAGUUCAAAAAGAAAUUUCCCUAAAUAAGUAAAUUUUGGAAAUUUCAAAUUCAAUUUCACACCUUCAGAAUUAUAACUGAGUUUGGGUAGUUACACGUGUACCGCAUCUGAUAAGCCUAAAACUAAUAUGGAACAUACUUAAAUGACGAAAAAUUAACGGCGCACAUGUACGUAUACUUUUGCCCGCAACUGUGCAUGCACUUGUGCACAAAGGACAUGUCGGCUGUUUGGGUUCCGCACUUGUUGAAGGACUCACCUGCUGAUGUUACGCAGAUCAUCGUCGCCGUUGGAGCUCUCCUCAAACCAAAUCUCAAGGAGUUUCUCAACGCCCUCAAAGAAGUGCGAACCGUUCUCCAACAUGCUGCUGGCUGGCAAUAACAGAUGGAUCUGAUCUGAUACCAAAACAACGCCUGGUGAUGUAAAGUAAACGAUGGGUCUAUCGAUGCGAAGUGUUUGUUGUACUCUGUCGAUAGUUCGGGACUCUAACAGCAUGUUUCCACUUACACCAUCUCUCAUUCAACAGUCCGCGGAAACCAAAUUUUCC